rnacentral:rRNA from 1 species
GGUCAAGCUACAAAGGGCGAACGGUGGAUGCCUUGGUGCCAGAAGGCGAUGAAAGACGUGGAUAGCUGCGAUAAGCCUCGGGGAGCCGCUAAACAGGCUUAGAUCCGGGGAUUUCUGAAUGGGGCAACCCGUCCGGAGUCAUGUUCGGACAUCUCCGGCUGAAUCUAUAGGCCGGCGAAGCUAACGGGGGGAACUGAAACAUCUCAGUACCCUCAGGAAAAGAAAGCAACCGCGAUUCCCAAAGUAGUGGCGAGCGAAAUGGGAAGAGCCCAAACCUAAGAUAUGUUCAAGCCCGCAGGCGUUGUAUCUUGGGGGUUGUGGGGCGUUGUUGGAGGGGGCUGCGGCUCUCUCGGGAAGUUACUAAUUCAGUUUUUAACCGAAGGGCCUGGGAAGGCCUACCGCAGAAGGUGAAAGUCCUGUAGGUGAAAAGAACUGAACUUCCUGGGCAGCGUUCCCGAGUACCACGGGACACGGGAAAUCCUGUGGGAAGCUGGAAGGACCAUCUUCCAAGGCUAAAUACAAACUGGCGACCGAUAGUGAACAAGUACCGUGAGGGAAAGGUGAAAAGUACUCCGGUGAGGAGAGUGAAAUAGUACCUGAAACCGUUUGCCUACAAGCGGUAGGAGCUCCAUAUCCCGCCUCGGCGGGAUGGAGUGACUGCGUGCCUUUUGUAUAAUGAGUCAGCGAGUUAUUCUAUGCAGCAAGGUUAAGCCGUAAGGUGGAGCCGAAGCGAAAGCGAGUCUGAAUAGGGCGUUGAGUUGCAUGGAAUAGACCCGAAGCCAAGUGAUCUACCCAUGGCCAGGGUGAAAUUUCGGUAACACGAAAUGGAGGCCCGA